AUGUUAUACACAGACAAAAUUGCCCUGAUCCAUGGCAAAAACUAUAUAAAAAGUGAACACAACAAAAGGAACACUUGUAGGGGACUUGUGCUAACCAAAGACAAUUUUGCUCGACGCAACUGGCAAGGGGGUAAGAAAUAUUGUUUUUGUACUCAUGACGAGACAAUCAAACACCUCUUUUUUCUAUGUAAGUUUGCACGUUCUACGUGGUCAGUCAUCCAAAUAGCGUCAAAUUUGUAUCCACGCACAAGUGUUGCCAAUAUUUUUGGUAAUUGGUUGAAUGGUAUUUCAAAUAGGUUCAAAAUGCUAAUAAGGGUGGGAGUGUAUGCCUUAAUUUGGUCGCUUUGGCUAUUUAGAAAUGAUUAG
rnacentral:rRNA from 1 species